rnacentral:tRNA from 1 species
GCGGUGGCGGCGGGGCUUCCGGCGUGGGCGGCUUCCUGCGCCGCGGGGUGGGCUCGGGGGUGGGCUCCGGCGCCGGUGCGAACAGGCCCUUCACCC